AAACCCAAAUGGUUAGAUUUUGUACACCGAAAGAGGUUGGGCCGAGCUCCAUAGGAUACUUAUGAAUCGAGUAAAUAGAUGGACGUAGAAUUAAAUGGGCAUGGACCCAUAGGAUUGAGUAGGCUCAGACCCAGAGUGAUACAGCCAAUCAAGAAACAAUAUUGAUAAGAUCCAAUCUGGAUGAUUGAUACAAUUUUAUGCAAGAAAGUUCGCUAGAUUCUCUUGUUAUUUUAGAGUG